CUCAGCAUGGAUCUUGUUGGAAGAUAAAAUUUCUUCUUACAGAGCGGAAAUGCUAGAUACUUGCUUUAGCCAGCUCACUUGUAUCUAAAGCCCAGGUAUGGACCAGGAUUUAGGAACAUAAGCAGCCACCAUGCUGUGAAAGAACUCAGCUACCUGAAGAGACUACAUACUGCUACUCCAAGCAACAGUUUCAGUGCUUGAACACCUG